GAGGAAACAGUCAUGAGUCCGCAGUCUUCUCGGAGGACAGCCGGUCGUCUCUUCUUGACGACCCAACGCGCCAUCUGUCCAGUCGGUGAAGAAACCCCAGACACCCUGGAGACAGAAACAGGAGUAGCUGCUGGGCGCACUGCAUUGUGGGAGUAAAAACUCCCAGAAGUCUCUGUGCAGAAUGGCCCAGCGUACCUGUUUGUCUUCUGGUCCUGAGACCCGGAAUUAUUGACGUCACACCAACACCCAGCCAGCCAAUGAGAAAUGUCAACAAAACGUCACGAAGAGGACGAACGCGAUUGGCCGAGCAGGAGCAGCUUGGAGCCGCGAGGAUGGAGGAGGACAGCUGGUUGCUAGGCAGGUUGUCAGGGAGAAGAAGGUGACCUUUCCAGGUGACCCUCAUGUGACG